UCUGACCAAAUCAGUGACAAACUCACUGUAGACUGAUCAGAGACAAAUGGCUGCUGCAACGAUCAGACCUGAGCUUGGGAUUGUUUUACUCAUCCUGUCUGUUUACUGGACUGGUACUGAGGGUCAGACACUGACUGAGUCUGAACCAGUGGUUAAAAGACCUGGAGAACCCCACAGACUCACCUGUACUGGUUCUGGUUUCACAUUCAGCAGCUAUGGAAUGGCCUGGAUCAGACAGGCAGCUGGAAAAGGACUGGAGUGGAUUGCUAUUAUCUACAGCAGUGGUAGCGUCUUCUACUCUCAGUCAGUCCAAGGCCGGUUCUCCAUCUCCAGAGAGAACAGCAGAAAUCAGGUGUAUCUGCAGAUGAACACUCUGACCUCUGAGGAUUCUGCUGUUUAUUAUUGUGCUCGAGAGCCACAGUGACACAGAAAAGCAGAAACGCUGAACAAAUUCUCCUCAGUGGUUUUUACAUGAAGCCACCACAGGAGGCGCCAUCACACCGCUGGAACAACACAGUAACAACUGAGGUAAACACAAGGAACCAAACGUUAAUGUUGUUAAAGAACUAAAA